rnacentral:rRNA from 1 species
ACUACGUGAGGACCGAAGCCUGGGGACCGACAGGGAGAAGAUACCGCGGUAGUCCACGCCGUAACGGUGGAUGCCGGAUGUGGGACCAUUCCACGUCUCCCGUGUCGGAGCCAACGCGUUAAGCAUCCCGCCUGGGGAGUACGGCCGCAAGGCUAAAACUCAAAGAAAUUGACGGGGGCCCGCACAAGCGGCGGAGCAUGCGGAUNAAUUCGAUGCAACGCGAAGAACCUCACCUGGGCUUGACAUGUUCCCGACAGCCCCAGAGAUGGGGCCUCCAUUCGGGGCGGGUUCACAGGUGGUGCAUGGUCGUCGUCAGCUCGUGUCGUGAGAUGUUGGGUUAAGUCCCGCAACGAGCGCAACCCUCGCCCUGUGUUGCCAGCACGUCGUGGUGGGAACUCACGGGGGACCGCCGGGGUCAACUCGGAGGAAGGUGGGGAUGACGUCAGAUCAUCAUGCCCCUUACGUCCAGGGCUUCACGCAUGCUACAAUGGCCGGUACAACGGGAUGCGACACUGUGAGGUGGAGCGGAUCCCUUAAAACCGGUCUCAGUUCGGAUUGGAGUCUGCAACCCGACUCCAUGAAGGCGGAGUCGCUAGUAAUCGCGGAUCAGCAACGCCGCGGUGAAUGCGUUCCCGGGCCUUGUACACACCGCCCGUCAAGUCAUGAAAGUGGGUAGCACCCGAAGCCGGUGGCCCAACCUUUUUGGGGGGAGCCGUCUAAGGUGAGACUCGUGAUUGGGACUAAGUCGUAACAAGGUAGCCGUACCGGAAGGUGCGGCUG